UCAGCUCGUGUCGUGAGAUGUGGGUUAAGUCCCGCAACGAGCGCAACCCCUACGUUUAGUUGCUAACGUGUAACGAUGAGCACUCUAGGCGGACUGCCGUUGACAAAACGGAGGAAGGUGGGGAUGACGUCAAAUCAUCAUGCCCCUUAUGUUCUGGGCUACACACGUGCUACAAUGGCCGGUACAAAGGGACGCAAAGCCGCGAGGUGGAGCAAAUCCGAUAAAAGCCGGUCUCAGUUCGGAUUGCAGGCUGCAAUUCGCCUGCAUGAAGUCGGAAUCGCUAGUAAUCGCAGGUCAGCAUACUGCGGUGAAUACGUUCCCGGGCCUU
rnacentral:rRNA from 1 species